AAGAUCUAUUCUGCUACGUCUCUGUUUUUCAUAAACAGAAGCAACUUCAAGAAGUGAGGAUAUAAAAGGGAGCAACAGAAAACUAUUUAUGUCGACAGUGCUAAGAAUAGAAAGAAGAGAAUGUGGACAUACCAACUCCAGGACACGAACUGCCUACACUGCACCAUCUCUGUUACGUUAGUUUGUCCUAAUUUUACAAGCACUUGUACAUGUCUCCUGAAAAAAGGGAUGAUAUGGAAUAUCCAAUAUUCCAUGAGAGGCAUUAAAAGGGGCAAGAACUCACAACAUUGUGGAGAAAGAAGUCAACAUUGUCGAACAAGGAAACAAACGCCAUAAAACUGGAGACUGGGUUGUCGUGCUGCAGCAGCCAGAGAGCCAGAGCGUCCGUAGUAUGGGUAA